GAAGGGCGGGGGCAGAGGGAGCAGAGGGCGGGAAGGGGGCGGUCACAGCGGCGAAGCGCUGAGGGUCAGCGGUGUCCGAUGCUAACGAAGAGAGAAGACCAGAGACCUGGGCACGGCCCACUCCCGUAGAUGGGCGGCGCAGCGAACAGGAGGAAGCCGGCGGACGACGUCCCUCCCUCUGUCAGUCACCCCCUCGCCAGCCUUUCAGCAGCUCCCGAGCCAGGCGUCUGCCGUGGUUUCCUUUUGGGUCCACAGCAGCACCCACGCCGCCACCUUCCCUCAGCCCAGCUCUCGGGGCCGAGGGGAGCACGCGCCCCCAGGCCCGGCCUCCCCGCUGGAGAGACGCUGGCUUCAGAGCCCACUCUGGACCCGGGGCCCAGCGCCGCGUGCGGGGGCCUCUCACCCAGCCCUGGGGACAGAGGCAGGGUGGGUGGGGUGUCAUGACCCGCAUCACGGGCAGGGGAGGUGGCGGAGGUCCGGCCGUCUCCACGGUGUGGCUCCACGUGGCCGCGGACACUGCCGUCCAAACAGGCAGAGCCCGCGGAAGUGCCCGGAUGGAGGCCCGGCCACGGCCUGAAGAGGCGGGACUCGGGCCGGCCUGGACCGUGCACGUUACGUCAUUUUUCCGUGUUCUGUCGGCAGAACUGGGUCAUGUGGCGGGACUUGGCUCCGAGGGAGUUGCAAUUAUUCUUUCCCUCCUGUUACUUGUUUGCCUCAGACCCCGUCUCUCUUGGUCUCUGCUUGUAUGAAAGUCGUCACAGUUCCAUAAUCCCCUCUGUGGGCUGCACACACAGGCAGGGCAGGGUGAGUACGCAGUUACCUUUGCUCACCCCACACCUCCCGGAAGGGCGGGUUCUACCGUCCCAAAUCAGGAGGUGUGUCCUGAGAAGUCCCGGAUGGAGUGGCUGACCUGUGAGAUGGUGACGCUCUUCCACAUGUCCUGGAGAAGUGAGAGAGGCUCAGCGAAUCCUGCCGGCAUGGGAGGCAGUUGAAGCACUGCAACCGCAUCGUCACAUACGAAGCAAGACAGGAACUUGGAGGGACUUUUCAUGGCAGCAGCGCUGGCUGGUGACACUUCCUUGGGGCCCCGGUGGACCCACCUUCUCACCAGCCUUCCCAGACUCUCAGCCACACGGCAGGGCCUAAGACACCUUGCUGAAAGAGUAUAAAAACUCAGUAAAGCAGAGACGUGGUGUUCUAGGAUUGGCCUUUUGUUCUAGCGUGUGGCCAUUUGAACUUGCUUUGAGAGGCAUUCCCGGGUCCUGAGAUGAUUUUAAGAUGAAUAGUUUUAUCUGGCGUCUGCCAUGGUUCAUUCAGCAACCGGGAGCUUGUUCAGAGCUCCGUGGCUGAGGCCUGAGGACGGCCUGUGAAUUAUUUUGUCAACAGGUCAACCAGGGAUGGUGUUUCUAGUCGGCUGAUUGCUGGCCUGUGACCCUCAAUUUUGAAUGUGAAUUCAAGACAUUAUUUCAGCAGUAAAAAUGUUCUCAUGUAUCUGUUCUAUUCAUGGCUGGGGUUUUAUCAGCACUAAUCUGAGUUGAGGCAAAAAGGAGGAAAUGAAAAGUAUGGGCUGGUGCCAGGGAGUCUGUUGGGCUGCUCCCAGCUUGCUGUCACGGGGUGGCAUGUCCUGGGUGGGCUGCUGGUCUGUGGGACAGGAGACUCCUGCCCGGGCGGCCAGACGAGUGGGCAGCAAGGAUGGGUGAAUCAGUGUGCAGCCAACCAUCACCUGCUCGCUACCCCAGACCCCCCGAGAGUUCUAGAACCCGUGACCUUGGCCUUGGCAGGGGGGAGCCCAGCCCAACAAGACUUCUGUGGGGAUUCGUCAAAGAACGCUCCGUCCAACCCGAUCUCCCGGUUUAUCCUUUUCCUGCAUUUUUGUUCAAAUGGCAG
ensembl:lncRNA